UGGGGAAUUUUGGACAAUGGGCGAAAGCCUGAUCCAGCAAUGCCGCGUGUGUGAAGAAGGCCUUCGGGUUGUAAAGCACUUUUGUCCGGAAAGAAAUCCUUGGCUCUAAUACAGUCGGGGGAUGACGGUACCGGAAGAAUAAGCACCGGCUAACUACGUGCCAGCAGCCGCGGUAAUACGUAGGGUGCAAGCGUUAAUCGGAAUUACUGGGCGUAAAGCGUGCGCAGGCGGUUUGCUAAGACCGAUGUGAAAUCCCCGGGCUCAACCUGGGAACUGCAUUGGUGACUGGCAGGCUAGAGUAUGGCAGAGGGGGGUAGAAUUCCACGUGUAGCAGUGAAAUGCGUAGAGAUGUGGAGGAAUACCGAUGGCGAAGGCAGCCCCCUGGGCCAAUACUGACGCUCAUGCACGAAAGCGUGGGGGAGCAAAACAGGAUUAGAUACCCUGGUAGUCCACGCCCUAAAACGAUGUCAACUAGUUGUUGGGGAUUCAUUUCCUUAGUAACGUAGCUAACGCGUGAAGUUGACCGCCUGGGGAGUACGGUCGCAAGAUUAAAACUCAAAUGAAUUGACGGGGUC
rnacentral:rRNA from 1 species